rnacentral:rRNA from 1 species
GACGAACGCUGGCGGCGUGCUUAACACAUGCAAGUCGAACGGUGAAGCGCCUUCCUUUUUGGUGGGUGUGGAUGAGUGGCGAACGGGUGAGUAACACGUGAGUAACCUGCCCCCUUCUUCUGGAUAACCGCAUGAAAGUGUGGCUAAUACGGGAUAUUCUGGGUCUGUCGCAUGAUGGGUCUGGGAAAGAUAUUGUUUCGGUGGGGGAUGGGCUCGCGGCCUAUCAGCUUGUUGGUGGGGUGAUGGCCUACCAAGGCGGUGACGGGUAGCCGGCCUGAGAGGGUGGACGGUCACACUGGGACUGAGACGCGGCCCAGACUCCUGCGGGAGGCAGCAGUGGGGAAUAUUGCACAAUGGGCGCAAGCCUGAUGCAGCGACGCCGCGUGAGGGAUGGAGGCCUUCGGGUUGUGAACCUCUUUCGCCAGUGAAGCAGGCCUGCCUCGUUUGUGGGUGGGUUGACGGUAGCUGGAUAAGAAGCGCCGGCUAACUACGUG